GCCUCGUGUAUUUGAUUAUGCGAUCAAUCUCACAUAGCUGAGGCAUUUUGGAAGUAAUAUUGUCGGCGUGUGUUGUCAUGCUUAGGCACUUUGCUUUCAAUUGUUCGACGAUGCUAUGGACCGUAGUUACCAAACCCAUCCCUGACCUUUUUAGGACGUAGUGCGGUGGCUAAACCGAGCGUUGUCUCGAGUUUUAGUCGUCACGCGAUACUACACUCAAACUAGACCUUCUUGCGAAUAAACAUGGAACGGACGUUGUCCCGUGCUACCAUGAUAUACGUAAGAGAGGUUGCAGUUUGGGAACUUGAUUAGAACCUUGGUUACUAUUAUCCUAAGCCUUAGUUUACCGGGCACCGUGUCCGCCCGUGGCUCCUCGACUUUAAUCUCAACCCUCCAUGUUUU
rnacentral:lncRNA from 1 species